rnacentral:misc_RNA from 1 species
GAUGAAGAACGUAGCGAAAUGCGAUAAGUAGUGUGAAUUGCAGAAUUCAGUGAAUCAUCGAAUCUUUGAACGCACAUUGCGCCCCUUGGUAUUCCAUGGGGCAUGCCUGUUCGAGCGUCAUUUGUACCUUCAAGCUUUGCUUGGUGUUGGGUGUUUGUCCAUUCUCUUGCAGAGGGACUCGCCUUAAAGUAAUUGGCAGCCAGUGUUUUGGUUUUGAAGCGCAGCACAAGUCGCGAUUCAACGCUAUACGCCAGCUUCCACAAGCCUUUUUCACUUUUGACCUCGGAUCAGGUAGGGAUACCCGCUGAACUUAAGCAUAUCAAUAAGCGGAGGU